rnacentral:misc_RNA from 1 species
GAUGAAGACGCAGCGAAAUGCGAUAAGUAAUGUGAAUUGCAGAAUUCAGUGAAUCAUCGAAUCUUUGAACGCACAUUGCGCCCGCCAGUAUUCUGGCGGGCAUGCCUGUUCGAGCGUCAUUACAACCCUCAGGCCCCCGGGCCUGGCGUUGGGGAUCGGCGGAGCCCCCCGUGGGCACACGCCGUCCCCCAAAUGCAGUGGCGGUCCCGCCGCAGCUUCCAUCGCGUAGUAGCUAACACCUCGCGACUGGAGAGCGGCGCGGCCACGCCGUAAAACACCCAACUCUUCUGAAGUUGACCUCGAAUCAGGUAGGAAUACCCGCUGAACUUAAGCAUAUCAAUAAGCGGAGA